rnacentral:rRNA from 1 species
AGUCGAGCGGUAGAGAGAAGCUUGCUUCUCUUGAGAGCGGCGGACGGGUGAGUAAUGCCUAGGAAUCUGCCUGGUAGUGGGGGAUAACGUUCGGAAACGGACGCUAAUACCGCAUACGUCCUACGGGAGAAAGCAGGGGACCUUCGGGCCUUGCGCUAUCAGAUGAGCCUAGGUCGGAUUAGCUAGUUGGUGGGGUAAUGGCUCACCAAGGCGAGGAUCCGUAACUGGUCUGAGAGGAUGAUCAGUCACACUGGAACUGAGACACGGUCCAGACUCCUACGGGAGGCAGCAGUGGGGAAUAUUGGACAAUGGGCGAAAGCCUGAUCCAGCCAUGCCGCGUGUGUGAAGAAGGUCUUCGGAUUGUAAAGCACUUUAAGUUGGGAGGAAGGGCAGUAAAUUAAUACUUUGCUGUUUUGACGUUACCGACAGAAUAAGCACCGGCUAACUCUGUGCCAGCAGCCGCGGUAAUACAGAGGGUGCAAGCGUUAAUCGGAAUUACUGGGCGUAAAGCGUGCGUAGGUGGUUGUUUAAGUCAGAUGUGAAAGCCCCGGGCUUAACCUGGGAACUGCAUUUGAAACUGGAUAACUAGAGUAUAGUAGAGGAAAGUAGAAUUUCUGGUGUAGCGGUGAAAUGCGUAGAUAUCAGAAGGAAUACCGAUGGCGAAGGCAGCUUUCUGGACUAAUACUGACACUGAGGUACGAAAGCGUGGGUAGCAAACAGGAUUAGAUACCCUGGUAGAAGGGC